AGUUGCUGGGACUACAGGCGUGUGUAACCACACCCAGCUUCUAUUGCCAUUUUAAAAAAUGAUUAAUUUUUUUACCUGGUAAUCUUGCUGUAUUUCCAUUUUCAGUGGAUUCUAUUGUACAUUCUAAGUUGAAAAUCAUAAGCAAAGCUCAGUUGCCUCCUCUUUUCCCAUAUUUAUAUAUUUCUUUUUUCUCCUCGGCUUUGCUGGUUUCUCAAGUAUGAAGUUGAAUAGUGUCAGUGAUAGUGAGCACCCUUAUUUUACUGCUUCUAAUCUUUUGUCUUUGGUUGUAGUGUUUGCUGUAAUUUCUAGUAUACAUCUUUUGUCAGGUUAAGAAAUUUUCUUAUGUUCCUAGUUCGUUCGUUCGUUCGUUCAUUCAUUCAUUCAUUCCCUCCUCCCUUUCCUUCUUUCCUCCCUUCUUUCCUAUUUCCCUCCCUCUUUUCCUUCAGAAAUGAUGCUAAAUUUUAGCAGAUGACUUUUUCCACACCUAUUGAUAUGGUAUGAGGUUUUUUACUUUUAAUACAGUCAUGUCAUGAUUCUGUCAAGCCAUCUUUUCUUUCCUGGGGAAUAUCCCAGCAGGGUUAUAAUAUGUCAUUCUUUUUAAU
rnacentral:lncRNA from 1 species